rnacentral:rRNA from 1 species
AGUGAACGCUGGCGGUAGGCCUAACACAUGCAAGUCGAACGGCAGCACAGGAGAGCUUGCUCUCUGGGUGGCGAGUGGCGGACGGGUGAGGAAUACAUCGGAAUCUGCCCAGUCGUGGGGGAUAACGUAGGGAAACUUACGCUAAUACCGCAUACGACCUUCGGGUGAAAGAGGGGGAUCGCAAGACCUCUCGCGAUUGGAUGAGCCGAUGUCGGAUUAGCUAGUUGGCGGGGUAAUGGCCCACCAAGGCGACGAUCCGUAGCUGGUCUGAGAGGAUGAUCACCAACACUGGAACUGAGACAGGGCCCGGACCCCGACGGGAGGCGGCAGGGGGGAAUGUUGGACAAGGGGCGCAGGCCUGACCCACCAAUACCGGGGGGGGGAAGAGGGCCUUCGGGUUGUAAAGCCUUUUUGUGGGGAAAAAAUUUUUUCAGGCUAAUACCCGGGGAGGAGGAGGGAACCAAAAAAAAAAGCCCCGGCUACCUUCGUG